CUACGGGUGGCUCCGGUGGGGAAUAUUGCACAAUGGGCGCAAGCCUGAUGCAGCCAUGCCGCGUGUAUGAAGAAGGCCUUCGGGUUGUAAAGUACUUUCAGCGGGGAGGAAGGGAGUAAAGUUAAUACCUUUGCUCAUUGACGUUACCCGCAGAAGAAGCACCGGCUAACUCCGUGCCAGCAGCCGCGGUAAUACGGAGGGUGCAAGCGUUAAUCGGAAUUACUGGGCGUAAAGCGCACGCAGGCGGUUUGUUAAGUCAGAUGUGAAAUCCCCGGGCUCAACCUGGGAACUGCAGCUGAUACUGGCAAGCUUGAGUCUCGUAGAGGGGGGUAGAAUUCCAGGUGUAGCGGUGAAAUGCGUAGAGAUCUGGAGGAAUACCGGUGGCGAAGGCGGCCCCCUGGACGAAGACUGACGCUCAGGUGCGAAAGCGUGGGGAGCAAACAGGAUUAGAUACCCGCGUAGUC
rnacentral:rRNA from 1 species